CUACUGUUCAACUCACCAGAUUGAUACAAAUGCACACACAGCUCGUCCUAUAGAAACUGCGUCUGUUCCACGAAUAGUGAGAUCAAAGGAGAAGUUAGCUCUCGAAAUUAGUUAAUAGCUUUCGAAAUAAUCUAAUCACAAUUAAACCUGACAAAGGCCAAAUAAGUAAAGAAAAACAAUUUCUAAAGUUUGGGCUUCUCAACAUUAGAUCCCCUGCACCGAAAGCAAUUAUUGUUAAUGAAAUGAUCUCAGAUUAUAGUUUCGACGCACUCUGUCUUACCGAAACUUGGCUUAGACCAAAUGAAUACAUUGGUCUGAAUGAGUCUACUCCAUCAGGAUAUUCCUAUAAGCAUGAGCCCCGUCAGACUGGUCGUUGCGGUGGUGUUGCAACCAUUUAUAACUAUUCUCUUACCGUCACUCAGAAAAUAGGACCCAGGUUUAGCUCAUUUGAAGUGCUUCUCCUUAAUGUUGCACAAAAAAUCCCUACUACAUCUUUCUCUGGCCAUCGUAUAUAGACCCCCGGGGCCGUACACUGAUUUUCUUAAAGAGUUUGCAUAUUUACUCUCAGAUCUUUUGAUCAGUUUUGACAAAGUGUUAAUUGUAGGAGAAUUUAACAUUCAUGUAGACGAUGCUAACGAUACUUUAGGACUCGCAUUUAUCGAUUUACUAAAUUCCUUUGGGGUUAAACAAAACAUAAAUAGACCAACUCAUCGUUUUAAUCAUACACUAGAUUUAGUUAUAUCACAUGGGACCGAUGUCACUGAUGUAGCCAUUCUACCUCAAAGCGAUGACAUCACAGACCAUCACCUAUUAGUGUACACUCUACCUGUAGAACAUAUUAGACAUGUCUCUCCACGUUAUCAAUUUGGUAGAACUAUUACUCCGACCACUAAAGACAGAUUCACAAGCACUCUCCCAGAUCUGUCUCAACUUUUUACUAGACCCCUAAAUGCAGAUGAUUUAGAUGAAGUAACUAACAGCAUAGGCACUAUUUUCACCAGCACACUAAACACUGUUGCCCCCAUCCGACUAAUAAAGGUCAGAGAUAAAACACCUGCACCAUGGUAUAAUAGUCAUACUCGCGCCCUCAAGAGAGCAACCCGUAACCUCGAGCGAAAGUGGAGAAAAACCAAAUUAGAAGUUUUUAGAAUUGCGUUUAAAGACAGUUUGUCUUUGUUGCUAUAGACAGGCUCUAAAGGCUGCUAGGGCUGAGCAUCUGAGCAAACUGAUAGAAAUAAACCCAGAUUCUUAUUUAGUACAGUGGUUAGACAAACAAAACAUCAGAUUCCUGGAGAGAGUAUUUCAUCACAGUUUAGUAGUGAGGACUUUAAUUGAUAGUAUCAGGAACAAAAUAUUGGAUGUUCAACAUUUGACAGCAUCUGGUGAUCUAGACCAGCCUAUAGCUCCACAUUUAAAGCUACAAUGCUUUACCAGUAUAGGGCAGGAAGAGCUAUUUAAACUUAUGGCUAACCCACGGCUAAAUCAACAACGUGUUGGUUAGAUCCAAUUCCAACUAGAUUGCUGAAAGAAGUGAUACAUGCAGCUGGAGAGCCUCUUCUGAAUAUUAUUAAUUCCUCGUUAUAUCUAGGUCAUGUCCCAAAAUCUCAAGUUAGCAGUUAUUAAGCGUCUUCUUAAGAAACCUAAACUAGACCCUAAUAUCAAAUUACAGACCUGUUUCAAACCUUCUGUUAAUAUCAACAGUAUUAGAAAAAGUGGUGUCAGCUCAAUUAUGCUCCUUCUUACAGGAAAACAAUAUCCUUGAAGAAUUUCAGUCAGGUUUCAGGCCCCAUCACAGUACAGAAACUGCACUAGUUAAAAUCACAAAUGACUUGCUUUUAGCUUCGGACCAAGGCUGCAUCUCCAUAUCAGUCCUGCUUGAUCUUAGUGCUGUGUUUGACACUAUAUAGAUCAUAACAUUCUUGUAGAUCGCUUACAAAAUCACAUAGGUUUGCAAGGACAGGCAUUAAAAUGGUUUAGAUCCUACCUGUCUGAUAGAUCCCCUUUUGUAGAUUUAAAUGGAGAACUAGUGUAGUGCCAGUGAAAUACGGGGUCCCACAAGGAUCAGUUUUAGGACUUCUGCUUUUCUCAGUAUACAUGCUUCCAUUGGGUAACAUAAUUAGACGGCAUGGGAUUAGUUUCCAUUGUUAUGCUGAUGAUAUAUAUCUCAUCAAAACCAGAUGAAAUAUCGAAUUUGUCUAGAUUAACUGAGUGUGUUAAAGAUAUUAAAGAUUGAAUGACCGAUAAUUUUCUAUUACUAAAUUCUGAUUAGACAGAGAUAUUACUUAUUGGUCCAAAUACCAGUACACAAAAGCUCUCGCAAUUCAGCUUGCAUUUAGAAGGAUGUACUAUUACUACUAGCUCAACAGUGAAAGACCUGGGUGUAAUAUUAGACAGCAACAAAAACAGCCUUCUUCCAUCUUAGAAAUAUUGCCAAGCUUAGGAACAUUUUAUCUGUAUCUGUCACGGCCAGGAUCCUCGCCCUAGGCGGGGCUCGAACCCAGGCCGUCCGUUGUGCACGUGCCCACGCUAGCACGCGGCUGAACGCAGACCCAGUCACAGGAUUCAGCGAAGCGCUGCUUUUAUUCACACGAAGACACGACAUGGGAAGACGAACAGGAUACGAGACAUGGCGUGGUUAAAAAAAAAAAAAAAGGAAAAUGAAGACGGAACGGGUAACAAGAUCAACUCAGGAGCAUAGACGGACUGGAACCACGGAACGAAUAACAGUAAACAAUCACGGACAAAGACGGGCACAAAAGGAUCCCUAUUUAUAGGGCUAGACAUUAGGGUAAACUGGGUACAGGUGAGACAGUCAGGGGAGAGAACAAUAGGACAGGUAAUCACAAGACACACGAACAAGCAGGCUUCUCGGGUUCACCUGCCAGCGCUUUCCUCGGGCCUGGCAGGGAACAGUCCAGCAGUUCCUGACAGGUUCUGAUGCAGAAAAGCUAGUUCAUGUGUUCAUGACCUCCAGACUGGACUAUUGUAAUGCAUUACUAGGUGGUUGUCCUGCAUCUUCAAUAAACAAGCUACAGUUAGUCCAAAAUGCAGCCGCCAGUGUUCUUACCAGGUCAAGAAAAUAUGAUCAUAUAACCCCAAUAUCAUCAUCCCUGCACUGGCUACCUGUUGAGUUUAGAAUUGACUAUAAACUAGCACUACUUACAUUCAAGGCUCUAAACGUGGUCUUCUAACACGUUACAAUCCACCACGCUCUUUAAGAUCACAAAACUCUGGACUUCUGGUAGUUCCCAGAAUAUCAAAGUCUACAAAAGGGGGUAUUUAGCUCCUAAACUUUGGAAUAGCCUUCCUGACAGUGUUCGGGGCUCAGACACAGUCUCCCAGUUCAAACGUACACUUAAGACUUAUCUCUUUAGCCUGGCAUACAUUUAAUACAUCCCAUUACCUUGUAAUUCAGUACAUCUGAUUAAAUGCACAUUAUCAUCUAGUGCUGCUAAUAUUAUGAACAGCAGCUAUGCUAAUUACUUUCCACUUGUUUCCUUUCUUCUACCCAUCCCGAGGCAUACGGAGAUUGCGCCAGCUCCAGUGGCAUCCAGAGAUGGACCAGUUUUUGCUUUGUGAGGAUUGGGGUAUUCAAAGCACCGCUGCCAACCUUAUGUGGAUGACAACAACCUCCUUAUUAAUUUACAUAACAUUCUACACAUGCUGUAUCUGCAUCACACAAUUGACUAUACAUAAAUGCACAAAGGACAUUGUUCAUAUCACACUCUCCAGUGUUUAGAAUAAUUUUUGAUCACACUCUCCGCUGUCACCCAAAUGAAGAUGGGUUUCCUUGUGAGUCUGGUUCCUCUCAAGGUUUCGUUCCUCAUACCAUCAAAGGGAGUUUUAAAGCUGCUUUGAGACAAUGCUCUUUGUUAAAAGUGCUAUAUAAAUAAAAUUGAAAUGAAUGUGCAUGUAAAGGCAGAUGUCCCAAAACUUUUGGCUAUAAAGUGUAUAUUACCUUUUGCACAUACCGUACACUUGUAAAUAAAUUACCUUGGUUUCUCUAAGUCAACCUUUAGGGACGUAACAGUCACAUUGGACGGAGGCAUAUUUAGAAGGAGAACUGCUGGUUACAGGAGGAUUUGGUUGUGGGUUUGCUGGGAUACGGAAAGAAGACGGAUUGCCAGUAAGUCUUUCCAUUUCUGUUUUUACUCUAGCCUUUGACCAGUUUUCUACACAAUCAGAAGUAAAGUUGAUCAGUGCCACUAAUGGACAGAAGGUUGCAAUCAAGUCUCCAAAAAGAUGCCAUUUGAAAAACUGCAGCUUGCACACCUGAAAAUGCCCCUCCUGAGUGGUUCAGACAGGAGCAGUACCAGACAGACCCCGCUACCGUCUUUUCUGUGGGUGUGACGCUGUACAGGCUGGUGUGUGGCUGUCUUCCUUUCGAGACCAUUAGGGAAACGACAAAUGGCUAUUUGUUCUUCCCCACGAAAGUCUGUCUCAAGGCAAGGAACUAUACUCAAUUUAAUACUUUUGAAAAAUUAUGAUUCAGAUUAGGAGGUAAAUUCUCCCAACCAGGAAAGGGUGCUAGUUCCAGCCAAUCGUCAUAGUAUUUAAGCAGUCCUGUGUGCACGCUAAUGUGAAGUACUGUAAUGAGAAAAUGAGGAAAAGAAA